UACGUAGGCAGCAAGCGUUGUUCGGAAUUACUGGGCGUAAAGAGUGUGUAGGCGGUGCUCUAAGUCUGUCGUGAAAUCUCCCGGCUUAACUGGGAGGGUGCGGCGGAAACUGGAGUGCUAGAGGGUGGGAGAGGAAAGCGGAAUUCCUGGUGUAGCGGUGAAAUGCGUAGAUAUCAGGAGGAACACCUGUGGUGUAGACAGCUUACUGGACCAUUUCUGACGCUGAGACACGAAAGCGUGGGUAGCAAACAGG
rnacentral:rRNA from 1 species